rnacentral:rRNA from 1 species
GUGGGGAAUAUUGGACAAUGGGCGCAAGCCUGAUCCAGCCAUACCGCGUGGGUGAAGAAGGCCUUCGGGUUGUAAAGCCCUUUUGUUGGGAAAGAAAUCCUGUCGAUUAAUACUCGGUGGGGAUGACGGUACCCAAAGAAUAAGCACCGGCUAACUUCGUGCCAGCAGCCGCGGUAAUACGAAGGGUGCAAGCGUUACUCGGAAUUACUGGGCGUAAAGCGUGCGUAGGUGGUGGUUUAAGUCUGCUGUGAAAGCCCUGGGCUCAACCUGGGAAUUGCAGUGGAUACUGGAUUACUAGAGUGUGGUAGAGGGAUGCGGAAUUUCUGGUGUAGCAGUGAAAUGCGUAGAGAUCAGAAGGAACAUCCGUGGCGAAGGCGGCAUCCUGGGCCAACACUGACACUGAGGCACGAAAGCGUGGGGAGCAAACAGGAUUAGAUACCCGAGUAGUCC